ACUUUCCCUGAAUCCUUCCCCAGGUAGUAGCUAUUUAUGGUAACUACCUAAACAUUACCAAAGUUUAUUUUUAUAUUUCACUUUUGGUAUGAUUUUCCUACUGUGACUUAUACUACUAUGUGCUUUCAUAGUGUUUCUCACUUGACUGGAAGAGCAGUAGGAUGUAUCUGGACUCCACAAUGCUUUUAUAUUGAAGGAAUUCAAUAAAUGAUACAAAUGACUGGACACAGGCCAGAAUGUUUGGAUUCUGUUUAAAGUGAUGAAUAAAAUUUAUCUUUUGAUAAUAGAGGUGUUAUAUAUAAAAUCACUUUUUAGGAAGAUUAGUGGGUUAACUAUUUUGAUUAAAAUGACUUGUAAUAUUGUGGUACAUGGACACUCAAGUAGAAAAAGAAUAUUCAUUAAUUUACCCACUGAUUCAAUCAUUCAUAAAGAGGUUUCAGCUACCAUGGUAAGCAAGAGCAAGCCUUACUCUCAUUCCAGUUGGAGACAAUAGUGUGAAUUCUAACAAAACAAACUAUAUAUG
rnacentral:lncRNA from 1 species